rnacentral:rRNA from 1 species
CUCGUAGGCUGUUCGGUCAGUCAGAUGUGAAAGCCCUCGGCUUAACCGGGGAACUGCAUUUGAUACUGCCAGACUUGAGUGUCGGAGAGGGUGGCGGAAUUCCGGGUGUAGGAGUGAAAUCCGUAGAUAUCCGGAGGAACACCAGUGGCGAAGGCGGCCACCUGGACGACAACUGACGCUGAGGAGCGAAAGCGUGGGGAGCAAACA